AUGAACGCUGGCGGCGUGUUUUAGGCAUGCAAGUCAAGGGAACCCCGUCGCAAGACGGAGUAACCGGCAAACGGGAGCGUAACACAUUGGUAACUUACCUCUGACACGGGCAUAACUUGGAGAAAUCCGAACUAAUUCCCGAUAUGCUCAAUAAAUAAUUUUUAUUAAGCAAAGACGAAAGUCGGUCAGAGAGAGACCUAUGGUCCAUCAGCUUGUUGGUAGGGUAGUGGCCCACCAAGGCAAUGACGGGUAGCGGUUCUGAGAGGAUGAUCCGCCACACUGGUACUGAGACACGGACCAGACUCCUACGGGAGGCAGCAGUGAGGAAUAUUGCACAAUGGGGGGAACCCUGAUGCAGCAACGCCGCGUGGAGGAUGACGCAUUUCGGUGUGUAAACUCCUUUUAUAUGUCAAGAAAAUGACGGUAGCAUAUGAAUAAGCACCGGCUAACUCCGU
rnacentral:rRNA from 1 species